GUUAUAUCGAUCAUCUGCCAAACUGCAUUGCAGGUAUUAGUGGAAACUCUUCUGAGAUAGGAAGGAUUUGGUUAACUUUAUGAUUAUCAUUAGUAUUUUUCCUCAUGUUUUUGUGCUUUGGGUCCUAGCCAGAACCUGAAAAGGAAAUACCUCUGUACCCUGAGAGAAACUAUUUGUGAAGAAUUUCUGGCUUGACCUUAAACAGGAAUUGUCUGAAAUUACAGGAAAGACUUUUUACAAGAUUUCCCUUCUAGCUUUGCAAAUGCAAGCCAUUCAGAGGUUUUGGGUGCUUAUCAGCAGCUCUGGAAUACAUUUAAGAUUUGUUCAGUUUAUAGCUAAUAGAGAGAUCCUUGCAAACAGUUAAGAAUAGUGCCAUUUUCUCAAUCUUAUUCAUUUCCUGACUAUGUGCUGGGUUAGAACAGUAUAGAGACAGCAGUAAAAACAGCAUAAAAGCAGAAUCUUUUAAUUUUCAGCCUUGAGAUGUUCAGUGCUGCCAUUCAGUGGGAUGGAAAAGGACAAGAGAAGGGCCCAUCAGAUUCGCAGGAUGGAUCUUUAUGAUGAAUGCCAAAGCCACCUUGUACAUAACUUAGCUGAGAGACUGACUAGCAGUACGAUGAAAGAAAUAGAACCAGAUAUCCCAUAUGACUAUUACAUUACUGAAUUCAAGGAUCUGAUGUUUAUCCCAAUGAAGCCAAGUAAGUUUUUCCAUUAUUAUUAAGGCCAGCAAUG
rnacentral:lncRNA from 1 species